UUCUCUGCCAGUCCUGCCUCUCAGUGGAAAGAGAAAGGAGUCAGGGGGACUGAUACCAGCUCCCUGCCUUGGAACCACACUGAGGUCCUUUGGGGAAACCCUGGGCAUCCCCAGAGGGUCUGUGUAGUGGCGUCCUCCUCCUUCCCUCACAGGGUACUAUCAUCCACCCAGCAUAACAGCAGACCCUCCCAUUCACUCUGCCCUCAGGGUCAAUGGGACACAGGCUCUAUUCCAGAUGAAGAGCAGAGGUGCCAAAACACAACGUCAUGGGUCCUCCCAUUCCUCCAGAAUCUCUCUGUGAGAAUAGAUGAGGAAAGACCCCAGCAUCUGAGGAAGAAAUGCACUGUUUGGACUCUUGAGUAUUUUAAUUUUGUCAUUUUCCAGUGGCUUCUACCUUGCGUUUCCCUUUGUAGUACUAUUGAAAAUGUCAAAAUAAUCAUUCCUCCAAGAAUACA